AUGAGCGAUCCAGUGUCAUACCCAACAACAAAAUUUCAUACUUGGGUCACCACCAACCCAAGAUGGAGCUCCAAGCGAGAUGCGAUGAUGAUGCAUCCCGUGUGGCAUCACGCCAUUUGUUGGAAUAAGCCACGGCGUCUGAUGCAGUCGAGUUCGUCGGGCGCGUCGGUAAGGGCCGUUGGAGGUAGCAGCGUCGUGCAUGCAGAAGCGCGCGGUGCAUCCCCCUCCGCCUCCCUACCUCCCCUCGCUGUUGUCGGAGGAAGCCGCCAGGCUAAGCCUGGGUUGUGGACGGCGGUGACCGGGCCUCUCUGCAGCGUCCCGGUCUCAUGGCAGGGAAGGCACGCCUCCUUGCAGUCGGGCGCGGCGGCUACGGCGCGAAGAUUCUCCGAAGUUGCAUCUCCGGCGGGUGGCUGCUGCGGUGGCAUGGUCGGCAAGCUCAUGGGCUUCGGUCCAGCGACUCCUGCUCGGCGAGUAUGGGCGUGGUGGCGGCCCCCCUUUCCUGCCUUCAGUCGUUCGGUCGGCUGCUCUGGCCGGCCCUUGGUGGUUGUUGCAGUUGCUGCGGCAAGGGGGCGCCAGAUCCAGCGGUUCUUCGUUCAGAUCCAGCUCGUCUCUCGUCUUCCUCAGGGGGUGUGCGUGCCAGCUUGUGUUGGUUGUGUGAGGGUGUUGGUCGAGUCUGCUCGAAGCGCAAGCUUGCCCGGCUAUGGCCGGCCGGUAGUGGCGGCGCCUACUGGCGUCGUUUCCCUUGUUGAAGACCCAUCUGGGUCGGGCAACGACGUCGUCCGUACGGCGUUUUUCCCCUUUCGGCCGUUGCUUUGGAGACCGACGAUCCUUUCUCGUGCUACCUUUGGGUUGGCCGUGCACGGUGUCACGGUUGGCUGGUGCUCAGCCGGUGAUGCGAGUGGUUGGCGUUGUGACUCGUGCAACGACGAAGAUGGUGAUGUGCGGAGCUGGGUCGUGGCAUGUCCUUCUGAUGUCGGCGACGGUGCUCUCCGCAGGUUGCACUGGACUAGGUCGGUGCGAGGCUUGCAACUUUCUCCUGUGAAGCUCAUCAACAAAAUCGGAGCUGUCGGUCCUCGACGCCUGCGGCCGAUCGUUUGGCUUGGCUGUCGAGGUCCUCAGGUGUCGUUCGUUCGGAGGGUCAUUGAUGGGUCGUCAGCGAGGAAAUCGGAGUCGCCUACUCGUGGAGAGGCUACGACGAUGACAUUGCUUGUAGCCUCGACGGUGUCCUCUCGUCGGCGAAAGUUGCCACCUAGGUACAACUUGUCUUGCUCCGGACCUACCUACACACCAAGGCCCAUGCCUCGCUUCUCCUCCACCACGUCAAUGUCGUCACUCCGCCUCCGCCUCCCCCUCCGCCUGCACGCCCGCCACUCCUCCUCCGCCUCUCAACCCUCACACAGCCAGGGCUGGGAUCCCCACGCCGCCUUCGCCGCCGCCACGGAGCGUGCGCGCUCUGGCAGCCUCACCCCGGCGGACGCACACCACCUGUUCGACGAAUUGCUGCGGCAGGCCAAUCCUGUCCAGGAGCGCCCCCUCAACAACUUUCUCGCCGCCCUCGCCCGCGCGCCGGCCCUCACGGUCGCCCUCUUCAGCCUCAUAUCCAAAGGCGCCCGCCGACGGGUGGCGCAGCCAAAUGUCUUCACCUAUGGCGUCCUUAUGGACUGCUGCUGCCGUGCACACCGCCCGGAUCUGGCACUAGCGUUCUUCGGCCGUUUCCUCAGGACGGGCCUGGAGGCAGACCAAGUCGUCUUCAACACCCUCCUCAAGGGCCUUUGCCAUGCAAAGCAGGCAGAUGAGGCCGUGAACGUGCUUCUUCACAGGAUGCCUGACCUGGGCUGCACUCCCAAUGUGGUGGCGUACAACACCGUCAUCCAUGGCUUCUUUAGGGAAGGCCAAGUAGGCAAGGCAUGCGAUAUGUUCCAUGGAAUGGCACAUAAGGGCGUUAUGCCUAAUGUGGUGACAUAUAACUCGGUUAUUGAUGCACUGUGCAAGGCCAGGGCCAUGGACAAAGCAGAGACGGUCCUUGGUCAAAUGGUAAAUGAUGGUGUCGGACCUAAUAAUGUCACAUAUAAUAGCCUCAUCCAUGGAUAUUCCUCUUUGGGUAAUUUGAAGGAGGCGGUUAGGGUAUUCAAAGAGAUGAGUCGGAGGUUUACACCAGAUGUCGUUACCUGCACCUCACUCAUGGCCUUCCUUUGCAAGAAUGGAAAAAGCAAAGAAGCUGCAGAAAUUUUUGAUUCAAUGGCCACCAAGGGCCUCAAACGUGACACCGUUUCAUAUGCUAUUCUCCUUCAUGGGUAUGCCACUGAAGGAUGCUUGGUUGACAUGAUUAAUCUCUUCAAUUCAAUGGCAACAGACUGUAUUCUACCUAACUGUCAUAUCUUCAAUAUACUGAUUAAUGCAUAUGCUAAAUCUGGGAAGCUUGAUAAGGCUAUGCUUAUCUUCAAUGAAAUGCAGAAACAAGGAAACCUAUGCACGGAAGGAAGGGUAAUAGAAGCACGGGAUAUCCUCGACUUGAUGCUGCACAUAGGUAUGAGGCCUGAUGUUCCCAUCUUUAAUUUACUAAUCGGUGGAUACUGCCUAGUCCGCGAGAUGGAGGAUGCAACAAAAAUGUUUGAUGAUAUGGUGUCAUAUGGUUUAGAACCUUGUAACAAUACGUAUGGUAUACUUAUUAAUGGCUAUUGCAAAAAUAGAAGGAUUGAUGACGGGCUUAUUCUAUUCAAAGAGAUGCUGCGCAAGGGACUUAAACCUACAACUUUUAAUUAUAACGUCAUACUGGAUGGAUUAUUUCUGGCUGGACGAACUGUUGCUGCAAAGGUGAAGUUUAAUGAGAUGGUUGAAUCUGGAGACUAUAGAGCUCUGGGCAUCCAUGUUAUGCUGAUAACAGGAUAUGAGAAAGGAACCUCUCAGGCAAUAUGCCAUGAGAUUGGUGCAUUUUCACCUGAUGAUGAUCCUAGGCCCAAGGAAGAGAUUGGGAGACUGCUGAAAGAAGAUGGUGAAGUUGUUGCUAUGACUGGAGAUGGUGUAAAUGUUGUCCCUGCUCAAAAAUUUGCUGACAUUGAGCAGAGAAAUGAGUACUUGAGUAGCUACCCUCCAAAAGUUACUGGAAAACUUGUGCCCCUUGAAAAUCAGAUUUACUACUCUGACUUGGAAGCUGCAAUUACAGGUACAUCAUCCUCUCUAAGAUCCAGGAUAACACGGGUACGGCUCAUGCUGCCACGUUGCAACAAGGUGGCUAGGAGACGCUUGGUCGCACAGCAAAUGAGCUCUACUCGGUUGACUAUGCAGCACGAUUUGGCAGUACCAUGCGUGCCGCUAUGUAUCAUCAGUAUCUGUCCCAAGCGGAAUGUCGCAAAGGGAAUGCUGAACGGUAAUCAUCUUGUGAAAUGCAUCGUUGUUGGAGCUGAAAAGUUUUACCCUAUGAGCAUUCUGCUAGCGCUUGUUUGGUUUCCUUCGUUAUACAUGCAAGCAUGCUUGUUAUCCCUCGAGAUCAUAUCCAUUGGAAGCUGCAUCGUGUGCGAAGUGACGGUGAUGACUGUUGAGGCUAACAUGCCAGGUUCUGCUCAUGGUACCCUAUUCUUGCGAUGGGAUGAACCCACCAACCACCAUACACUCACCAAGGACGAGCAGAUGGCCUGUGUCAAGGUUGAGGAGUUUAGCAUUUCCAUGGAGCGCCUCAUUUUGAUUGGAGAAAAUAAUCUUGUGUGUCCUGGCAAGAUAACUCCCUCCUAUUCUCCAGGAGGAUUUGCCUUCCUCACGAAGGAAAACCUCACCUCUUCCCUUCCCUCACCGCAGCCACUACCUCCUCUUCUCCGCCGCCUCCCCGCCCCGCCCCGCCCCUCCCCUCAUCUCUGUGCCAUGGAAGGUGCGGCGCUGCUCGUUCCCAAGGCAAUGACGGCAAGAGCUAGAAGGCGGGCGGCGCCUCGAGCUCUCGUCCUGAGGAUGCCGCAGGAGGACGAGCACAACCCAGACGACGUGUCGACGUCCAUGCGAUCGUCGGCGCCUACUCCGCCGCGGGAGGCCCCAGCACAUGAUCGUGCUACCCCCACCCGACGAUGUCGUCUGCGUCGAUCUGAAGCCCACACAGGAUGGGAACAAGGUGGGGAUGGAGAUGUGGGAGAAAAGAGCUCAUGGGACUUUCAAGAUAUAGAGAAAUCAAAUGUAGGUACCUUUAUCCAUCCAUCUUUGAACUUGUUUGAGUUCUCAUGGCAAUUGGUGGCAAGGGGAGGACAUUUAUGUUUGAGAGAGAGGGAUGGAAAAAGUGGGGAUGGAGUAAGAGAAGAGGAAGGAACACGUAUGAUGCAGUUCGAGCGCCGUCUUCUAUGCUUCUGCUCACAGUCCCAACAUCCUCAUGGCAGGUCCAAAUCGCUGAGAUGCUUGUUCUCUUGGCUCACAGUAUUUUCAGUGCUCCAGUUACUAAGAUAUUCUCAUGUUCUUUUCAGAUGCGCUGGAGACAGGGAACUUGGACCGUGCCCACGUACACCCCAAGUUCCUGGAACCAGCGAAACCUUCCACAAGUGGGCGUUUGGAGGUUCGGCGAUGUUGCCCAUCCAUUCUCUGAUUUGGUUUGGUGUGUUGGAGAUGGAAUUGUUUGACAGUCUUCAGUUUGUCAGAACAAAGGGUACCAGCUUGACCAACAUCAGAAGUAUAUGGGUCUGCAAACAAGUGAUGAAAUGCAAAAAAAAAUAG
rnacentral:rRNA from 1 species